AUGGCAAUGGCAAUGGAAUUGGCCGACAAAUUGCUCCUGGUGCUCCGGAGCUACUCACUGCCUGUUUGGGCCACCAUCAUCUCGGGGCUCUUCGUCGCCGUAUCGCUCUCGCUGUCCAUCUACUUGCUCUUGAACCACCUCUCCGCCUACAAGAACCCAGAGGAGCAGAAGUUCCUCGUCGGUGUCGUUCUGAUGGUGCCGAUAUAUGCAAUCGAGUCGUAUAUAUCAUUGGUGAAUCCAACAAUUGGUGUAGAUAUUGAGAUUCUGCGAGACGGCUACGAGGCAUUCGCCAUGUACUGUUUCGGGCGGUACCUAGUUGCGUGCUUAGGCGGAGAAGAUAGGACGAUUGAGUUUCUGAAGAAGGAGGGCAGUUCAGGUUCUGAUGCACCACUUUUAGGCAAUGCAUCCGAAGAACGACAUGUGAACCACCCUUUUCCGAUGAAUUACAUGUUGAACCCAUGGCCCGUUGGCGAAUGGUUCUACUUGGUAGUUAAGUUUGGCCUUGUCCAAUAUAUGAUAAUAAAGACAAUAUGUGCUCUUCUUGCGGUGAUUCUUGAAUCCUUUGGGGUGUACUGUGAAGGAGAGUUUAAAUGGAACUGUGGGUACUCUUACACUGCCAUGGCUCUCAAUUUCAGUCAGUCAUGGGCCUUAUACUGUCUCGUUCAAUUUUACGCCGUCAUAAAGGACGAGCUAGCCCAUAUAAAGCCCCUAGCAAAGUUUCUGACAUUCAAGUCUAUUGUGUUCUUAACAUGGUGGCAAGGUGUGGCAAUAGCGUUGCUCUCCAGCUGGGGCUUGUUGAGAGGCCCUAUAGCUCAAGAGUUGCAGUUCAAGUCCAGCAUUCAGGACUUUAUCAUCUGCAUAGAGAUGGGUUUUGCUGCUGUUAUUCACCUGUACGUCUUCCCUGCCAAGCCAUACGAGCUAAUGGGCGAUCGUUACGUUGGAGAUGUUUCAGUUCUGGGAGACUACGCUUCAGUUGACUGCCCUCUAGAUCCAGACGAAGUUAAAGAUAGCGAGCGCCCAACCAAGAUUAGGCUUCCCCAGCCAGAUGAUCAUGUCAGAUGCUCCACUGCUAUAAAAGAAAGCGUCCGCGAUGUUGUACUCGGAGGAGGCGAAUAUAUUGUGAACGACCUGAAGUUCACCGUCAACCACGCGGUGGAGCCGAUCAACGAGAAGAUCCACCAGAUAUCGCAGAACAUGAAGAAGCACGAUAAAGACAAAACAAACGACGACAGCUGCAUCGACUCGUCGCGAUCCCUGCACAGGGUGAUCAGUGGGAUCGACGACCCGCUCCUGAACGGGAGCCUCAGCGACAACAGCGGCCCCAAGAGAGCGCGGAGGCAGCAGCGCAGGAGGUUGGGUGCGGGGAUCAGCGGCGAGAGCAGCGACCAUGGGCUGGGCGGGUACGAGAUCCGGGGACACAGGUGGAUCACAAAGGAGUGA
rnacentral:rRNA from 1 species